AGCGUACACGGUGGAUGCCCUGGCAGUCAGAGGCGAUGAAGGACGUGCUAAUCUGCGAAAAGCGUCGGUAAGGUGAUAUGAACCGUUAUAACCGGCGAUGUCCGAAUGGGGAAACCCAGUGCAAUUCGUUGCACUAUCGUUAACUGAAUACAUAGGUUAACGAGGCGAACCGGGGGAACUGAAACAUCUAAGUACCCCGAGGAAAAGAAAUCAACCGAGAUUCCCCCAGUAGCGGCGAGCGAACGGGGAGCAGCCCAGAGUCUGAAUCAGCUUGUGUGUUAGUGGAACGGUCUGGAAAGUCCGACGGUACAGGGUGAUAGUCCCGUACACCAAAAUGCACAGGCUGUGAACUCGAAGAGUAGGGCGGGACACGUGGUAUCCUGUCUGAAUAUGGGGGGACCAUCCUCCAAGGCUAAAUACUCCUGACUGACCGAUAGUGAACCAGUACCGUGAGGGAAAGGCGAAAAGAACCCCGGCGAGGGGAGUGAAAAAGAACCUGAAACCGUGUACGUACAAGCAGUGGGAGCACCUUCGGGUGUGACUGCGUACCUUUUGUAUAAUGGGUCAGCGACUUAUAUUCUGUAGCAAGGUUAACCGUAUAGGGGAGCCGCAGGGAAACCGAGUCUUAACUGGGCGUUAAGUUGCAGGGUAUAGACCCGAAACCCGGUGAUCUAGCCAUGGGCAGGUUGAAGGUUGGGUAACACUAACUGGAGGACCGAACCGACUAAUGUUGAAAAAUUAGCGGAUGACUUGUGGCUGGGGGUGAAAGGCCAAUCAAACCGGGAGAUAGCUGGUUCUCCCCGAAAGCUAUUUAGGUAGCGCCUCGUGAACUCAUCUUCGGGGGUAGAGCACUGUUUCGGCUAGGGGGUCAUCCCGACUUACCAACCCGAUGCAAACUACGAAUACCGAAGAAUGUUAUCACGGGAGACACACGGCGGGUGCUAACGUCCGUCGUGAAGAGGGAAACAACCCAGACCGCCAGCUAAGGUCCCAAAGUCAUGGUUAAGUGGGAAACGAUGUGGGAAGGCACAGACAGCCAGGAUGUUGGCUUAGAAGCAGCCAUCAUUUAAAGAAAGCGUAAUAGCUCACUGGUCGAGUCGGCCUGCGCGGAAGAUGUAACGGGGCUAAACCAUGCACCGAAGCUGCGGCAGCGACACUAUGUGUUGUUGGGUAGGGGAGCGUUCUGUAAGCCUGCGAAGGUGUGCUGUGAGGCAUGCUGGAGGUAUCAGAAGUGCGAAUGCUGACAUAAGUAACGAUAAAGCGGGUGAAAAGCCCGCUCGCCGGAAGACCAAGGGUUCCUGUCCAACGUUAAUCGGGGCAGGGUGAGUCGACCCCUAAGGCGAGGCCGAAAGGCGUAGUCGAUGGGAAACAGGUUAAUAUUCCUGUACUUGGUGUUACUGCGAAGGGGGGACGGAGAAGGCUAUGUUAGCCGGGCGACGGUUGUCCCGGUUUAAGCAUGUAGGCUGAUUGUCCAGGCAAAUCCGGAUAAUCAAGGCUGAGGUGUGAUGACGAGGCACUACGGUGCUGAAGUAACAAAUGCCCUGCUUCCAGGAAAAGCCUCUAAGCAUCAGGUAACAUCAAAUCGUACCCCAAACCGACACAGGUGGUCAGGUAGAGAAUACCAAGGCGCUUGAGAGAACUCGGGUGAAGGAACUAGGCAAAAUGGUGCCGUAACUUCGGGAGAAGGCACGCUGGUGUGUAGGUGAAGCCCCUGCGGGUGGAGCUGAGACCAGUCGAAGAUACCAGCUGGCUGCAACUGUUUAUUAAAAACACAGCACUGUGCAAACACGAAAGUGGACGUAUACGGUGUGACGCCUGCCCGGUGCCGGAAGGUUAAUUGAUGGGGUUAUCCGUAAGGAGAAGCUCUUGAUCGAAGCCCCGGUAAACGGCGGCCGUAACUAUAACGGUCCUAAGGUAGCGAAAUUCCUUGUCGGGUAAGUUCCGACCUGCACGAAUGGCGUAAUGAUGGCCAGGCUGUCUCCACCCGAGACUCAGUGAAAUUGAACUCGCUGUGAAGAUGCAGUGUACCCGCGGCAAGACGGAAAGACCCCGUGAACCUUUACUAUAGCUUGACACUGAACAUUGAGCCUUGAUGUGUAGGAUAGGUGGGAGGCUUUGAAGCGUGGACGCCAGUCUGCGUGGAGCCAACCUUGAAAUACCACCCUUUAAUGUUUGAUGUUCUAACGUUGGCCCCUUACCGGGGUUGCGGACAGUGUCUGGUGGGUAGUUUGACUGGGGCGGUCUCCUCCCAAAGCGUAACGGAGGAGCACGAAGGUUAGCUAAUCCUGGUCGGACAUCAGGAGGUUAGUGCAAUGGCAUAAGCUAGCUUGACUGCGAGCGUGACGGCGCGAGCAGGUGCGAAAGCAGGUCAUAGUGAUCCGGUGGUUCUGAAUGGAAGGGCCAUCGCUCAACGGAUAAAAGGUACUCCGGGGAUAACAGGCUGAUACCGCCCAAGAGUUCAUAUCGACGGCGGUGUUUGGCACCUCGAUGUCGGCUCAUCACAUCCUGGGGCUGAAGUAGGUCCCAAGGGUAUGGCUGUUCGCCAUUUAAAGUGGUACGCGAGCUGGGUUUAGAACGUCGUGAGACAGUUCGGUCCCUAUCUGCCGUGGGCGCUGGAGAAUUGAGGGGGGCUGCUCCUAGUACGAGAGGACCGGAGUGGACGCAUCACUGGUGUUCGGGUUGUCAUGCCAAUGGCACUGCCCGGUAGCUAAAUGCGGAAGAGAUAAGUGCUGAAAGCAUCUAAGCACGAAACUUGCCCCGAGAUGAGUUCU
rnacentral:rRNA from 1 species